rnacentral:rRNA from 1 species
UUCUUAUGGUACCGUCAGGCCCUCAUAAAUGAAGGCGUUUCUUCCCAUAUAAAAGCAGUUUACAACCCAGAGGGCCGUCAUCCUGCACGCGGGAUGGCUGGAUCAGGCUUGCGCCCAUUGUCCAAUAUUCCUU